UACGAAGGGCCCGAGCGUUAAUCGGAAUCACUGGGCUUAAAGCGUGCGUAGGCGGGCGCGCAGGCGUCGUGUGAAAUCCCUCGGCUCAACCGGGGAAUUGCUCGGCGAACCGCGCGUCUUGAGGCGAGUAGGGGCUGUCGGAACGAUAGGUGGAGUGGUGAAAUGCGUUGAUAUCUAUCGGAACGCCGAAGGUGAAAACAGGCAGCUGGGCUCGUCCUGACGCUGAGGCACGAAAGCGUGGGGAGCGAACGGG
rnacentral:misc_RNA from 1 species